rnacentral:snoRNA from 1 species
AUAUUUGCAUGAUGAGCUAGACAUUUUUAACAGUUAUCCCUGGCUGAAUUUCCUGUGUUGACUUAUUCUAACUUCUGACCAAUAU